CUACGUGUCUUAAUCUUGUUGGUGGAACUAAAUAAUACAAAAAGAAAAAAAAAAUCCUCACUCGAUUUCUUUUCCUCUCUCUCUCUUUCUCUCGCGAUUGAAUACCCGACGAAGAAAUUUGGAAUCAGAAAAAGGGUUUGGAAUCGAAGGAUACUUGAAUCAGAGGAAGGGUUUGAAUCGAAGGAUCUGGAGAUGAUUAGCGAAAGCGAUUGACUCGGCGGAUUACUUUGGCGAUAGACAAAAUCGAGUCCGAGAUUUGGAGAUGGAUACGAUUUCAAGUUGGAGUCGAAAUAAUCGGAAGAGAUUGAAUCAAUUGGAAUCACAAGGAGGUAUCUCUACGGAUUCAAUUGAAUAUGCAGAAGAAACAGGAAUUUUCUGAGUACAGAGAGAAGGUUAACGAGAAACAGCUCAAUGAAGAGUCAAUUGAGAAGUAUGUUUUUGUAAUGAUGCAUCUUAUGGUGAUUGGAAAUUGAAACAUGAUGAUGAAGAUUGCCGUGUUAUGUACCGUGAAGGACUUAAAGGAAGCCCAUUUCAUACACUGCUCGUUGAAGGUUGCAUUGAUGGGACUAUCGAAGACUGUUGAUGGUGGAUUUGUGCUACCAGACAAAGCCUCUCUGCAUCUUACAGACAUAGACACUUUCUUGAAACGAUAUAGGGUGAUGCCGACAGUGGAGACAGUGGAGUCGACAGGCAAUGGCAGAAGAAGAAGGUUGAAGCCAAACAACAGUAAGACCAACAAGCUUUGUUUUCUAGUUUCUAGGUUUCUUUUUGAAAUCUAGAUGUGAACCUUUGUCUUCAUCAUAAUCUAUUUCUCUUCAUCAAAAUCUUCUCUUUUCACCUAUGUAACAUAUCCAUCAAAAGUUAAAUCAUGAUUCAUGAUGACUCUUAUUUAGUAUUCUCUACUACUAUAUCAAGUUUGAGUUUCAUAUUUACUA